AUUGAACGCUGGCGGCAUGCUUUACACAUGCAAGUCGAACGGUAACAGGCCGCAAGGUGCUGACGAGUGGCGAACGGGUGAGUAAUGCAUCGGAACGUGCCCAGUCGUGGGGGAUAACGCAGCGAAAGCUGUGCUAAUACCGCAUACGAUCUAUGGAUGAAAGCGGGGGACCGUAAGGCCUCGCGCGAUUGGGGCCGCCGAUGUCAGAUUAGGUAGUUGGUGGGGUAAAGGCCCACCAAGCCAACGAUCUGUAGCUGGUCUGAGAGGACGACCAGCCACACUGGGACUGAGACACGGCCCAGACUCCUACGGGAGGCAGCAGUGGGGAAUUUUGGACAAUGGGCGCAAGCCUGAUCCAGCAAUGCCGCGUGCAGGAAGAAGGCCUUCGGGUUGUAAACUGCUUUUGUACGGAACGAAACGGUCUGGGUUAAUACCCUGGGCUAAUGACGGUACCGUAAGAAUAAGCACCGGCUAACUACGUGCCAGCCGCCGCGGUAA
rnacentral:rRNA from 1 species